GAUGAACGCUAGCGGGAGGCCUAACACAUGCAAGCCGAGCGGUAUUUGUUCUUCGGAACAGAGAGAGCGGCGCACGGGUGCGGAACACGUGUGCAACCUGCCUUUAUCUGGGGGAUAGCCUUUCGAAAGGAAGAUUAAUACCCCAUAAUAUAUUGAGUGGCAUCAUUUGAUAUUGAAAACUCCGGUGGAUAGAGAUGGGCACGCGCAAGAUUAGAUAGUUGGUGAGGUAACGGCUCACCAAGUCAAUGAUCUUUAGGGGGCCUGAGAGGGUGAUCCCCCAGACUGGUACUGAGACACGGACCAGACUCCUACGGGAGGCAGCAGUGAGGAAUAUUGGACAAUGGGUUAGCGCCUGAUCCAGCCAUCCCGCGUGAAGGACGACGGCCCUAUGGGUUGUAAACUUCUUUUGUAUAGGGAUAAACCUACUCUCGUGAGAGUAGCUGAAGGUACUAUACGAAUAAGCACCGGCUAACUCCGUG
rnacentral:rRNA from 1 species